UUUAUAGAGAGUUUGAUCCUGGCUCAGGAUGAACGCUGGCGGCGUGCCUAACACAUGCAAGUCGAACGGAGUUACUUUGGUGAAGUUUUCGGAUGGAUCCGAUUUAACUUAGUGGCGGACGGGUGAGUAAUGCGUGAGCAACCUGCCCUUCAGAGGGGGACAACAGUUGGAAACGACUGCUAAUACCGCAUAAUGUAUUCGGAAGGCAUCUUCUGAAUACCAAAGGAGAAAUCCGCUGAGGGAUGGGCUCACGUCUGAUUAGUUAGUUGGUGGGGUAACGGCUCACCAAGACUGCGAUCAGUAGCCGGACUGAGAGGUUGAACGGCCACAUUGGGACUGAGAUACGGCCCAGACUCCUACGGGAGGCAGCAGUGGGGAAUAUUGGGCAAUGGG
rnacentral:rRNA from 1 species